AAGGAUCAUUAUCGUACAAACAUGUGUGAGGCGUGCGAGGGCUGUCGCUGACUUUUUGAGACACAAAAGUCGUGCACGCCGGAGUGCGUCCUCUCACAUAAAAUCCAUCUCACCCUUUUGUGCACCACCGCGUGGGCACCCUUUGGGAUCGAAUCGAUCCAGGAGGGGGCUUGCGUUUUCACACACACCCCUUUUAAAAAGUGUAGAAUGACCCCACUUUGCUAUACGCAAUCAAUACAACUUUCAACAACGGAUCUCUUGGCUCUC
rnacentral:misc_RNA from 1 species